rnacentral:rRNA from 1 species
CCUACGGGGGGCUGCAGUGGGGAAUAUUGGACAAUGGGGGCAACCCUGAUCCAGCCAUGCCGCGUGUGUGAAGAAGGCCCUCGGGUUGUAAAGCACUUUCAGUGAGGAAGAACGCCUGGUGGUUAAUACCCAUCAGGAAAGACAUCACUCACAGAAGAAGCACCGGCUAACUCCGUGCCAGCAGCCGCGGUAAUACGGAGGGUGCGAGCGUUAAUCGGAAUUACUGGGCGUAAAGCGCGCGUAGGUGGCUUGAUAAGCCGGUUGUGAAAGCCCCGGGCUCAACCUGGGAACGGCAUCCGGAACUGUCAAGCUAGAGUGCAGGAGAGGAAGGUAGAAUUCCCGGUGUAGCGGUGAAAUGCGUAGAGAUCGGGAGGGAUACCAGUGGCGAAGGCGGCCUUCUGGACUGACACUGACACUGAGGUGCGAAAGCGUGGGUAGCAAACAGGAUUAGAUACCCCUGUAGUC